rnacentral:misc_RNA from 1 species
UAUUGAAAAUAAAACUGAUGGGUUGCUGCUGGCUUUUCUAAGGAGCAUGUGCACACUUGUCAUCUUUAUAUCUCCACCUGUGCACCUAUUGUAGACCUGGACAACUUUCUUAAUGUGCUAGCAUUCAGGUAUGAGGAUUGACUCUUCUGGCUAUCCUUGCAUCUUCAGGUCUAUGUUCUUUCAUAUAAUCUCAAAUGUUAUGGAAUGUAAAUGCUUAAGGGCUUCUGUGCCCUAUAAACCUUAUACAACUUUCAGCAACGGAUCUCUUGGCUCUCGCAUCGAUGAAGAACGCAGCGAAAUGCGAUAAGUAAUGUGAAUUGCAGAAUUCAGUGAAUCAUCGAAUCUUUGAACGCACCUUGCACUCCUUGGUAUUCCGAGGAGUAUGCCUGUUUGAGUGUCAUUAAUAUAUCAACCUCUUCAAGUUUUUUUGCUUGCAGAGUGUAUGGAUGUGGGGGGAUUAUUUUGCUGGGCUUUCUUUAAGAGGUCAGCUCCCCUGAAAUGCAUUGGCAGAACAAUUUGCUGACCGUCCAUUGGUGUGAUAGCUAUCUACGCUAUUGACGUGAAGCAGUUCAGCUUAUAGCAGUCCAUUGACUUGGACAAUCUUUAUCAAUGUG